GAGACGAUUACAGGUGAGCUCGGUGAAAAGGAAAGUUAAAAUAGCGUUCCCAGACGAGUAACGUUUUGACUUGACCUGCAUUCUUCACGUGUCAGGAACGGGUUUGCCUAGAGUGGUGUGAUCCUACGUGAUCUGACCUAACCUGACCUGACCCUUGACUUUUGCAGGUGGAAUUUAAUGAAAGGGAAAGGUUCUGCGGUUUUCCAGUUUUAUUUGCUUGCGGUAUAACGUAGCUACCUUUCCGGGGACUUUUCACCACGAAGUAGCCUGACCCAACCUGACUUUUGACUUUAUUGAACAGUGACUCAGUGAAAUGGAAGAUAUUAAUGUCUGUUACCCGGUGAAAGAAAUAACCUUCUUCCCUUUGCAUUUAUAUAGACGUGAGAACUAACCUGUACGGAAUAAUUUAAAAUAUCUUAAUCUAAUUUGGCUUCACUCUACGUAUUUGAUUGGGCAGUGAGUAUUUUUUUAUCUGUUUCUUUGGUUUUCUUUUUAAGGCGUGGGGACUGACAACAAAGAGUAAUCUAACAUAACAUGAUCUAAUUUGACUUCAUUCUACGUCUUUUAUUGGACCGUAAGUUUAUUUUUUAAUCUAUUUCCUACCUUUUCUUCUUAGGGUUUCAGAACUGACCUGCACAGAACAACCUAACAUAACCUGAUCUACUUUGGCUUCACUGUGCGUCUUAACUGGACCGUGAGUUCGUUUUUUAAUCUUUUUUUUUUUUGCUACUUUUUUUCGUUUGCGUUCCGUACUGAAAAAAAAAUUCCCUUCACCAGCAGAACAACUUGACCUACUCCUGCUAUCCCUUUCCAUCCAUCUGCUGCUGUUUUCCUCCCUGCUCCUUCCUCUCCCAAUUUCUGUGACCAUCAACCUCCCAUUAGUACUACGCAUGCACCCUUCCGCCCCGCAUUCAGAGUAACUCCCCUUUCUCUUCUUUAUAUUUCCCUUCACCAGCAGAACAACUUGACUUGCUCCUGCUAUCCCCUGCCAUCCAUCUGCUGUUGUUUUCCUCCCUACUCCUUCCUCUCCCAAUUUCUGUGACCAUCAACCUCCCACACCCUCCCGCUUCGCAUUUAAAGUAGCCACCCCCUCGUCUCCUUCAUCUUUUCCUUCACCAGCACGCAGCAGAACAACUUGACCUGUCUGACAUUCUUCUUUUAAAUAGAUCGUGACGUGUUCCGGCGAUCUAGUUCUCGUCUCUCCUCCUCUUUCGCCGCAUCAUCUUGAAAGCCUUUAACAAUAUCAGGCGUCAGUUGUUGCCUUUUUCUCUCUCCCAGACUUUACUUUCACUGCUCUGUGUACUUUCAUCUUUUGUUUUUCGUGUGAUGGUAUGAAUGACCUUUCUCUGGCAUGACCAUACGGUAUACUAUUCUAAAGUUGUUGCGUUUUUCCUUGUGGUAUGAUCGUGCUAAUUUUCUUUUCUUCUUUAGCAGCAGUGGUAUAGCCGAAUGACAGACGCCUUUUCUUUUAUUCCCUUUUUUUUCUUCUUUUUUUGCAUGACUGUAGACAGACUUCGAAUGUCUUAUGAUGGCAUUUAAGUAUGAAAGACAGCCGCUUACUGCUUCUUUUCUCUUUUAAGUGUAAGAAAAAAACUCCACUAGAACCGCGUCCAUACUUAUUCUGAUGGUGAAAGUCCUGAGUCAGAUGAAAAAAAAAAAUAUGCGACUCCGUGAUAGAACGAAAGUAAUCCUUACAGAAAAGACAUCCCCACCGCACACUUUGUUCAGCGCCCGGCCCGAAUGAAGUUAGGUUAGUUUAGGCUUAAUUAGACGUAUGGUAUCGUGACCUUCUGCCGGGAUAUAACUGAGAAUAACUGGAAGAGAAGAAAAUGGUUAGUGGGUGAGCUAUGGCCAGCACGUCACCCACGGUUCAGGUGCCAAUCAAGCGGACACUUCAGAAAUAUGCCGCCCGGUCAUAUAGUGUGCGUCAGAUUCGUCUAGCUCCGGCGUGUGUGUGGAUUUCCCCUCAGUAAGUGUGCCGCAUAACUUCCUAGUCUAUAACCAACACUCAUUCUAUUAUUUAUUUAAUGACUAAACUCGAGGUCGUUGCCAUUUCCACUUCUAUUCCGGUGUCACUUUUUUAACCGUCACAUUAGAGGAACAACAAAACUCCCGUGAAGACAUUGCAAAACGCUUGAUUUGGACUAUAUCCUUUUACGGCCAAAUGGAGCAGGAAACCUUUGCCCUCAGCACCUCAAACGACACGGCUUGAAACAAUACACGCUCCGUCCAUGUGCCAACGGGGAACAAGCAGCCUUCAGGUUAAAUGCACGAGUUUUUUCAAUAGUGCUGAGUUCCUUAAAGGGCUAUUACACUGGACAAACUUUCCGUGGAUCUUCAGUCAAACCACGAUUUCCGCUGGCGUGGUUCUCAUAUUUCCGUGGUUUUCUGACGUGUCCACGAUCUUCCAAAGCUACGGUAGAGUUAUUUGAAGGACGACGGUAUUACUCACCAUCGUCAUCAUCAGCAAUAACAAGAAACAAAUGAGAACCACGCUACCAAAAAUCGUGGUUUGACUGAAGAUCCACGGAAAGUUUGCCCAGUGUAACAGCCACUUUAUGCUCCACUUUUAUGGUAUGUAAAUGACAGCUUCGAAAUAUAACUAACGGCAUUUUUCAGCUCUAGCACUAAUAGCCUUCACUGUAUUGUUCUGUUUUGGAUUGCAUUUUAUUGUAUAUUAUUGUAUUUGUUAUAUCCCACUACUCACUUAUAUUAGCUAGUCAUUCCUCUUGUGUAUCAUAUUGUUUUAAUCUGUUCCUUUCCUUCGUUCGUGUAUUCUUAUUUUCUAUUGUCUUCUGUUCUGUCAUAUCUCAUUCAUCUCCUUUCAUCUAUUCAAUCUUUCUUAUUCUCAGUUGCGUUUUUUACUUUUUUUUCUGUUCUGUUGAGUCGUAUUAUUUUCAGGUUCGUUCUGCCAUAUUUUUGUUUUCUUUUGUAUUUUAUCCACUUUGCUUUCUUCUUCCGCGACUAUAUAUGCGUAGCUUCGUCUCUCCACCUUCACCUCAACUGUCCCGCCUCUUUUAAAACUCUUCCUCUUCCUCGUCCUUCACUUAUUCCUUUUCAUAUUCCUCCAGUUCCUUCUCUUUCUCCUCCAUCCCCGCCUAGUCUCGGUCUUCGUCUCCGUCUACUCUUCGUCCUCCUCUUCAUCAUCAUCCUUCUUUUUCUUCUCCACCUUCUCCUCUUCCUAUUCCUUCUCUUCCUCCUCUUCCUCUUCCGUCUGCUCCUCUUUCUCCUCCUAAUCUUUCUUCUCACUUAAUUAUCGAUACUAAUCAAAUCCCACAACAUCUCAUUACAAAAAAAAAAAAAACGCGCUAUCUAUUAUUCCUCUGACAAGCAACAAACUCCCUCAGGCCGUCACUUAUAAUUAUUCUGACGUGCAGGUGUGGGGGAGGGAGGGAGGGGGUGCAGGGGGAAGGGUUCAAAGCAUGCCUGUAAAGAAAAAAUAAUAAUAAACAGAUAACGGAGGGCAAUUAUCAAGAGUCUCACAGGUAUAUCCAGGUGUGUGUCGUGAUGAAUUAUUUGAAGCCACGUCAUCAAGUCACCUGCCUGUCACCUGCAUGCAUGGCGGUAUCGUGAGGUGAGGGAGGGUUGAGGGAAGGAGGGAGGGAGGGAGGGAAUGCUGAUAUGCCUGUCGUGGUGCGUGAACAAGAGUGUCAACCGAUUCAGCGUCAUUCAGUCAGGCGACGAGGCGUUAAAAGUGGUUAGUAGGUCUGUCAGUCAUUGCCAUCACUCUUAUCUGAAGAUGGAGUGAAGGGGAAGGAGGAGGAGGAGGAGGAGGGGGAAGGGAGAGGUGAGGGGAGAAGGGAGAGGAGACGAGAGGUGCUUAGAAGUGAUAAAGUGAUGAGGUAACGAGAUACAAGAUGAGAGAGGAGAAAACUAGAACUGUAGGAGAUGAAGAGGAGGAGGAAAAGAAGAAAAGACGAAGUUAAAAGAGAGAAGAGAGAGGAAGAGAAGAGGCAGAGGAGACUAGAAGAGCUGAGAAGUGAGGAAUGGUGAAAUAAUGCGAGGUAAGAAAUUAGAGAAGAGGAUUGGAAAAAAAGGAAAGAAGGAAAAGGGGAAUAAAGAGAGGGCUGGUGAACACAAAAGGAGAGAAAGAAGGGGAGGAGGAGGAAAAUAAAAAUAGGUGAAGUAGAAAAAAAAAAGAGGAGAAGAAGGUGAGAAGGGAGAAGAGAGAGGAAAGGAAAAGAAAGAGAUGUGAGAUAAGGAGAGCAGAGGAAAGGAAAAUAAUGGGAAAAGAGAGAAAGAGAGAGAGGAGAGGAGGUGAAAGGGAUGUAAGAGAGAGAGAGAGAGAGAGAGAGAGAGAGAGAGAGAGAGAGAGAGAGAGAAGAGAGACAGAGAGAGAGAAAUAAAAGAAAGGAGAGGAAAGGAAGUGUUUAAUUAGUAAUGGACGAGUUGUAAAUUUAAUAAUAUCCUUGGGUUCGUGCGUGUCACCUAAUGAACACCAGGUAUGUGGAACGAGAAGGGUCAGGUUAGUGGUGGAUUGUGUGUGGAAAAUGUGGCGUGGGUGCGGCAAUCGAAAUUCUGGAAGUCAUAUUUCUCUCUCUUAUUAUCUCCUUAAGUCUUUUUUUUUUUGGGGGGGGGGGAGGGGAAUUGCGGGGUCUGGGUGAUUUUUUCUGUUACAAAACCUCCUUUAGUCUUUUCGUGGGGAGGGUGCAGGAGGGACGGGGUCGCAAUAUUAGCAUGUCGAAGAUAAGAGCCUACCACCUGCUGUUACCUGUGCAAUGAGGGUCACAGGUACAGCAGGUGUGUGUGGAGGGGUGGGGGUGGGAGGGGGUGAGGGGGUCUGGUGCUUUCAAUUCAUUCGUGACAAAGAGAAACCACAUCCUCGACCACAUGCUUUCCUUGCUCCAUCCCAUACCCUCACCGACACCUCGUUAGUACCCACAGCUCACUCACACACCAUACUCCCCAUUCCACUAUUCCUACCCACUAUAGCCCCAUACCCUUACCAGCAUCGUACAUAUUCUCGGAGUAAGUCUGAAAGUAGGUCUGAAGAUGAAAAAAAGCACAAGGAUAUGAUUAAUAAGUAUCAGUUUGGGGAGUAACAAAUGACAAACGGGAGCGAAACACUUUAGAGUAGUGGACUAAGCAUUGUUAGGACAGACAGUGCAAACCCAUCCCACGGAAAUAAAUCAUAAAGAGAAUUAUAGUGGUAUAUACAGCUUGUGGUAAUUAUAGGAGUAGCGCAAUAAACCGCCACCCUUCUUGAAAUGAUCGAUGCCCAAUCAGUGUAUCACAAAAGCUUCUCAAAAAGGUCUAGAAAAAGCAGAGAAGGGCACACAUAGCAAUAUAGAUAAAAAAAAAAUGAUGCUAAGUAACAUAGACAGGAAUUUUGCAUCAUCUAUUUGGAAACAGACAAAAUUUGAAGAUAUUUUAAGACGAUGAGGAACAAAAAUUAUUGUUAGUUCCUCUCUGAAUAACUCCCUGCAUGUACAAUCACGCACUUAAGGUUGGACGGAAAUAUACUUUAGUCAGCCUUCCUUAACGACUGAAAUGUAAGAUCAAAGAAAAUGGCUUAAACGAAUGGUAAUCUAUUGUAUAUUUGGGUAUGUCCUCCCCUCCCUUCCGCAUUUUAAUCUGUCGCCAUGGAUCUCAUUUUGAGCCUUGAUGGUCAGAACACAUGAAUACACUGCCAUCAAACACUUAACUAAGAGGCAAGGUGUGGAGCGCCGGGCAAGCUGAUUACUAUGGUCAGGGUUUGCUUUCCCUCGGGGCCUGUGGCGGACUAGAGACGAGGGCCCCUACACUCUCAAGUAAUAUUAAGUCAUGCACUCUUUUAGGAACUUAGAAAUUAACUAUGACUUAGCUAUAGCAGACUUAUCAGUGCUGUCACUUACAUAAUGCUAUAUGUAUUUACUUAGUUAUUUAGAACUGUUAGUUAAAUUAGUGUGCGUCCCGAGGUUAUUCAAAUUAGUGUGCGUCCCGAGGUUACUCAAAUUAGUGUGCGUCCCAAGGUUACUCAAAUUAGUGUGCGUCCCGAGGUUACUCAAAUUAGUGUGCGUCCCGAGGUUACUCAAAUUAGUGUGCGUCCCGAGGUUACUCAAAUUAGUGUGCGUCCCGAGGUUACUCAAAUUAGUGUGCGUCCCGAGGUUACUCAAAUUAGUGUGCGUCCCGAGGUUACUCAAAUUAGUGUGCGUCCCGAGGUUACUCAAAUUAGUGUGCGUCCCGAGGUUACUCAAAUUAGUGUGCGUCCCGAGGUUACUCAAAUUAGUGUGCGUCCCGAGGUUAUUCAAAUUAGUGUGCGUCCCAAGGUUACUCAAAUUAGUGUGCGUCCCGAGGUUACUCAAAUUAGUGUGCGUCCCGAGGUUACUCAAAUUAGUGUGCGUCCCGAGGUUACUCAAAUUAGUGUGCGUCCCGAGGUUACUCAAAUUAGUGUGCGUCCCGAGGUUACUCAAAUUAGUGUGCGUCCCGAGGUUACUCAAAUUAGUGUGCGUCCCGAGGUUACUCAAAUUAGUGUGCGUCCCGAGGUUACUCAAAUUAGUGUGCGUCCCGAGGAACGUAUGCUCUUAUUUUUCUACGAUACUUUGGACGUUUUUAAGUAGGUGGCAGGAGCCGCACAGGUCUCUUGAAAGAGCCGCAGGUUGCCGACCGCUGCCCUAAGCCGUCUCUACCUAAGGUCCCUUUAUAGUAAAACCUUUCUUACACUGCAGUAGGCCCAACAACAUCAGUCUACAUAUAAUAAUGAGUAAAUGUUUGCAGCCAUGAGGUGGGUGUCGUGUCUGUUUCCCUAGCCGU